UUCAACACAACCACUGAACUUAACUAAUUAUAUUUCCAAUUUUUAUUCUCAUCAUUACACCUCUUUUAUAUAUGUUUUUCUUUAAUUUCUUUCCCACUAGAUUUCACACUCGGCUCCACCAGCCCAACUCCCUAUUUGCAUUGGUCACACCAGAGUGUAACGCACGCACAUACACAAAGCUUGCACUUUACACAUUGAACCAAGCCCUUCAGAGCCUUCUCUUUCUCGACUACAUCUCUGGCCUUAUUUAUCACAUGCAUUUGGGAGAUUCACUCCAAUUCCAACCCUCUGAUAUUCGGUCCACUCUGCUAACUGAGCAUGGGUCAGCUGUUCCACAUCAUACAGCUAACAUAGGCCACACAUACACCACAACGAGAGAUCAUCAACACAGAAAAAUAUAUUUUAGUUUCAGCUCAAUCC
rnacentral:lncRNA from 1 species